GACGAACGCUGGCGGCGUGCCUAAUACAUGCAAGUCGAGCGAACAGACGAGGAGCUUGCUCCUCUGACGUUAGCGGCGGACGGGUGAGUAACACGUGGAUAACCUACCUAUAAGACUGGGAUAACUUCGGGAAACCGGAGCUAAUACCGGAUAAUAUAUUGAACCGCAUGGUUCAAUAGUGAAAGACGGUUUUGCUUUCACUUAUAGAUGGAUCCGCGCCGCAUUAGCUAGUUGGUAAGGUAACGGCUUACCAAGGCAACGAUGCGUAGCCGACCUGAGAGGGUGAUCGGCCACACUGGAACUGAGACACGGUACAGACUCCUACGGGAGGCAGCAGUAGGGAAUCUUCCGCAAUGGGCGAAAGCCUGACGGAGCAACGCCGCGUGAGUGAUGAAGGUCUUCGGAUCGUAAAACUCUGUUAUUAGGGAAGAACAAAUGUGUAAGUAACUAUGCACGUCUUGACGGUACCUAAUCAGAAAGCCACGGCUAACUACGUGCCAGCCGCCGCAGUAA
rnacentral:rRNA from 1 species